UGAAAUUGAAACUCAAGAAUUGAAUGAAAAAUGUUUACUUUUUGACCAAUAAGAAGAGAAGAUUUAAGCUGCAGUCUAAGAUUUUGAGCCUUACGAGCUCUUGGCAGUUGACUCGUUGAAAAAUUAAUUUCAGUGAACGGAAAAGAUCUUAGAAAGUAUCCACUUAAUUUUUAGACUCAUAUGUUCUGUUUUUUUUUUUUUUUUAAUAACAAGAAAUGAAGGUGGAACUACCUACUUGAAAAAAAUGCUUAUAAACAACGUUUACGAUUGAAGAAAUAGUUCUGAGGUAGAUACAAUUGUAGAAAAGAAAACUUUUCGUAACAAUUUUUAAAACAUUUUUUAUCUCUUAUUGUUUUAAAAUAUACCAUAAUGGUUUUGAAGAGUUUUUAGUACUUUCACACAAAGUAAAAAAUAUAGAACUAAAACGACUCGAUCGUCAAUUCGUCAUUUUGAACAACCAACGCUUACUUAUCUGAAUACCUACUUAUUGUUGUAAAACCAAGCUUGUUUGGCUUAUUGAAUAGUUGUGCCUUCCUUGAGAGUAAAACAGAACCCAUGAAUUCAGUUUUGUUUCUAUUUUUCAUUUUAUUAAUUACAAAUGGAAUCAAUGACUUGUCAGCUAGGCCAACGAUAUGUACGGAUUCAGGAACACAAAACAACUCCGCAGAUUGCUCCACUGAAUUCAACUCAGCUGGCUCAAUCCGGAAAAUGUGGUUUCCAUUUAUAGUUGUUUUAUAGUAGAUUUGACAUUAUUUUAAAUUUCUAAUGAAAUAAAAAUAGGUACCAAAGCAUGA